UGACAAAAUAAGAAUUUGUUCCAAACCGC
rnacentral:piRNA from 1 species